UACGUAGGCAGCAAGCGUUGUUCGGAGUUACUAGGCGUAAAGGGUGUGUAGGCGGUUAUUUAAGUUUGGUGUGAAAUCUCCCGGCUCAACCGGGAGGGUGCGCCGAAUACUGAAUGACUUGGAGUGCGGGAGAGGAAAGUGGAAUUCCUGGUGUAGCGGUGAAAUGCGUAGAUAUCAGGAGGAACACCGGUGGUGUAGACGGCUUUCUGGACCGUAACUGACGCUGAGACACGAAAGCGUGGGUAGCAAACAGG
rnacentral:rRNA from 1 species